UACGAAGGGGGCUAGCGUUGUUCGGAUUUACUGGGCGUAAAGCGCACGUAGGCGGAUUGUUAAGUCAGGGUGAAAUCCCGGAGCUCAACUCCGGAACUGCCUUUGAUACUGGCAAUCUUGAGACUGGAAGAGGUUAGUGGAAUUCCCAGUGUAGAGGUGAAAUUCGUAGAUAUUGGGAAGAACACCAGUGGCGAAGGCGGCUAACUGGUCCAGUACUGACGCUGAGGUGCGAAAGCGUGGGGAGCAAACAGG
rnacentral:rRNA from 1 species